CCAUGGAUACACCCUACAGAUGAGGUUCAUUACAGGCAGUAAACUGCUUAAGCUAUUUAAUUGAAAUGUGCUUUUUGCUGUAGUUAGGUAAUGACCUGUUGUUCUGAAUCAGCCACCCACAGGAAAUGAAACAGUUGAGUUAUCCACUUGGAGAUGGAGCCUUGAUGUCGCUAUCACCUUGGAGAUAAUACUGCAGUGGUCAGGGUGCAAGAAUAGGACAUCAUACUUUAGGGUUAAAUAAUUUUUGUGAAAGCACAGUAACUUUAGAAUAGGAGAACAUUCUGGUCAUGGCAUUGCACACCUGAGUUGUAGUAAUGCUUCUACUCACAGAAUGGUUAAAACUGGAAGAGAUUUCUGAAGAUCCUGUGUUUCAUUCCUCCUGCUCAAGCAGAGACAACUUGAGCAGGUUGCCCACGAACAUGUACAGGUGGCUUUUGAUGGUGUUAAAGGAAAAUGACUCCAUAGCUUCCCUGGGUAACCUAUGCCAGUGCUCCGUCACCUGCACAAUAAAGAAGUAGUUCCUGAUGUUUAUAUGGAAUGUCUUAUGUUCCAAUUUUUGCCCAUUGCCUCGUGUCCUGACACUGAAAAGAGCUUCACUCUAUCUUAAUUGCACACCGUCUCAAGAUAUUUUAUAAACAUUGAUAAGUUACCCCCAGAAACUCCUCCAGGCUGAAGAGUCCCAGCUCUCAGACUCUCUUCAUAGGAGGAGUGCUCGAUCAUCUUGGCAGUUAUGCUGAACAUUUUCCAGUACAUCCAGGUCUCUCCUGUACUGGGACCUCAGAACAGAAUUCCACAUGCAACCUCACCAAAGCAGAGGUGAAGGAUCACCUCUCUUGACCUGCUGACAAUACUUUGCCUAAUGCAAACAAGAAUACCACUAGCACUGUUAGUGACAAGGACUACUAUUAACCUCUAGGGUACUCCACUCAUUGUUGGCCUCUAAUAGAUUUUGCACCAGUGACCAUUUCUCUCUGCAUCUGGACAUUCAACUACACGUAGUUAAGCUCAUAUAUAAUCCUCUGUCAGGGAGAGUAAGCAGGGCCUUAUAAUGUUAGUAAGAACACUCAAUCAAAAAUACUUUUUACUCAUAGGUCCAGGGCUUCGAUGUGAAGCAUCUUUGCUUGUGAGUUCCAGGCCAUGAGGGACACCAAGGUAUAGACUCUGCUGAGCUCUGCUGAGGGUAGAACCCUGGCAGGAGCUUCUUGGGCUGCUGCAGACCAAGUCAGAGAAGAAGAGCUCACGUGGGCUAAGACACAACUUUCUUAACUGAUUUAAAUUUUAGACUCCAAUGUUCUAUUUUUUAUUAGCCCACAGAUUAUAUUAGUCCAUGUUAAAGAAAGGUCUUUGAAACAUAGAGGCUUAAACAAAUAUCUUUGAGAGAAAUGAAAGAUUUCCUUGGAUAUAUGUGCUUGUUUAGCUGAAUUUUACACAUGAAAUACACAUGCACUGGACUUGGUCUGCAAUGGUUUAUUGCCCAUCUUGGUCUGCAAUGGUUUAUACCUAUCUAGCAGCAAAAUGUUAUUGUUCAGUGAGAUUAUUCUGACUGAUAACCAGAGUUUUAAAAGCAAUAACAAGGAAUUAGUAUGUUAUUGUAGAAGAAAAGUUUUAACUUUGCAAGGCAGGAAAAUUCUUAUCUUGCAGAAAAGUCUAUACAUAAUUCUGCACCUGUCAAGAAACAAAUUCAAAAUUCAGUUGAUUUUAACAGUAAGCUUUCAGAUUUUGAAAAAGGGAUUUUGUUUUACUAAAUAUUUGUCUCAGAAAUAUGCAGCUAAAGAAGAAUUAAGGGAACAGUUUGUGUGUGUUGCUUCUCUGCACCAAACAGAAGAGCAUAUCUGCUUUACUUUUUCUCAAGGUUUCCUAUCACAAACAUUCAUUGUGUAAAGUGAGCUCUGACACUAGUUGUGUUCUUUCUGAUUAAUUUAGAUACUGUUAAUACUGCUAUUGUUGUUUUUAUGUAUAGCUUCUGUAUAUGAAGUCCUAUAAAUGUAUAGGACUGUGAAAAAAACAUGGGCCAUUUCUCUAUGGUUUAGUGUAUGAAAGGAAAUGGUCUCAUAUCUUUGUUAAGAAAAAAAUGUCAUUGAAAGCAAAUAAAAAACUAGAAUCUCUCACAAGGGGCACAUUUAAUUUUGGAAAUUAACAAGUGAAAGCCAAAAUUAUAUUUGAAAAUGCUCAGUUUAAUUAAUGUCAGUUUUACCUAUUCAUAUGCAGCAAAAAUUUUGACUAUUUUGGAAAUAGUUAUUACCAAUAAACAAAAAUUUUAAUAUUAUGCUAUUCCAACUUAUCCAUGGCCCUUUUAUUAUUAUGAGUGUUACUGAUUAAAAAUGUGAGGCAGAAACAUGAUAUAGGUAUAUGACCUUGAUUUUAAUGCCAUACAUUUUGAAUAUAGAUUAGUCAUCUCAGCAUUUACAAAUCAGGCUGAAGUUUGACAUAUUCAUAAAACAACAAACAAGUAGAGAAUUGAUUCAUAGAAGUUGUGGGCAAUUAAUACACAUAGAAAUGAGAAAAUGAAGAAUAGGUAUUUUACUGUGAAUAAGUCUCCUACAGUAAAGUCUGAUAAAACACAUAGACAUUUUGUGUAGAGAUGUUUUUUGUUUCUUACUUUCUUUCUUUUUUUUUUUUUUUUUGCUAUAUACUAGAUCUGAGAUUAUUAUUCCUGCAGGAAAAUUUAUAACCUACCUUCAACAAAAGUAAUGUCAUUCCAUAAAUUAAGUUCAAAUCAUAAUUUUCAUUCAGGCUAUGCUGUCUUUAACUGGUAAACUCCUGGCAGCCUCUGAGGAGUCUGCAGUGCUGCUGCCACAUUGCUUUUGACUUAAAGGAAAUAGCCAUGAAUCACUUUUAUUGAUGAUCAUGGUUGUGUAGCAUCUCUAUAGCUGCUGCCUUCAUAAAUGAGGGACAAAAGAGGGUACAUGUUUUGUGUCUUUUUAUCUUCUGCUAUUCAUGAAACUGAGUGAGAGGAAAGAGAACAACUGGAGUGAUUCUGUGCCCAAGACAAUUGGUCUUCACUCACUGUGGCCCAGGCAAGCCGUAAGGUUGGACACUCACAAGGAAACUCUUCCACUCACACGAUGUGAGGAUACCGUGACUUGGCAAAAUCACACUUCGUGCUACUUCCUGGAUACUCGACAACAGGACAACUAUGUGAAAUGAAAAGAAGAUUUAUUAACCCUGACACUUCAGUAAUGAAUCAAAAUGAAAUCAAGAGGAGUCAAACAGGGGAUGAGAAAGGAGGGGUAAAACUGGUUCCUCAUGGCAUCCUAAAUAUGGCAUGACAGGGCUUUUCCCAAAAUAAGCAAGAAAAAAACCCACUAUAUCUGUAUGUACAUUACUACCUUGUAUAUGCACAUAUGGCAAAUGGAACUCCACCUCUGAUGAAUCAAUCUCCAUUAGGUCUUUUUAGUGUAAGUCAGAAUAUUGAAGAUGCCCAUUGCUUUUUUCAGUCACUCAUCUGCAGACUGAAUGCAUAUGCAACUUUCUCUGUUGCAAUUUCACUUAAUGGAAAUGUGGAUAUCAUUUUUGGUUGCAAAAGAAAAAUUUUGUGUUCUGAAAGAGUGUAAAGGGCUGAGGUACAAAGCUGAAGUGCUGCUUUUGAUAGUGGUUAGCUUUUGGUCACUGUGCUAACAAGUAAUCAUGAGAGCACACUCUCCUAACACAGACACUGGCGAAGGAUGAAGGGUACACUCCCGCUGGGGAGACAUACUAGUAAGGUGAAACGAAAAAAGAACUAGGAAACAAAGCUGCAAGUGAGAUGUAUUACAGAAGCUUAAUGCAUUCCUGCAAGAUUCUAAACAGUAGAACUCCUUGUUUCAGUGCAUCAGUGCUUCAAGAAAUUCCUAGGCAUGUGUAAGAGUAGAAGAAACAGUUUGAAAUUAAGCACAGUGCCACUGUAUUGAAAGAAAGCACAGUAAACAGUGAGUUAAUUUGGCCACAUUGGUAUGGAAAAAUUGCCAAAGUACUACUCCAGCACAUUUUUCACAGCUCUGACUCUCCAAGGGUGUUCUGCCUCCCUUCUAACUUGCACUGCAACUCUGGGAAAUGGCUUGCUGUUUCAAAAAGUCCCUUCCAAGGUUAGAGGCUCUUGGAAGUGCAUUUAUGUUGGCUUUCUCAGUAGAAAAGUCAUGGGCUGAGUGAGCACAAAGACUACUUGUUGAUCCGCAGAUAUGGUUCCUCUGUGGCUGUGUGGAGAUGGGCUGAAGGCUGUGAGGAAGAAAACAUACACAACUUCUCCCUGUGUUAGUCUGCUUCUGCAGAUAAAAUUGUGAAAUUUAUUUUCAGUAUUUUCCAUGUGGGACUGAACUAAUCUGUGAGCAAUAACUUUGGUGACUGGAGAAGUCAUGUUCAUAAUACUACAGACGUACAUUUUUUCUGAAACUUACAUACGCUAUCACAGUCUUUACAAAACAAUUAUUUGAAAACUGUCUGAUUUUAUAAUAUUGUGAUAUAUUUAUUUUUCUUAUUCCUUGGUUCUCUGCACUGCCUCCUCCCUAUAAUUUUACCAUGAAGCUUGUGAGAAACAGCUUUUGAGAUUCUGAUGGGAGAUGAAAUUCAUUAUUUUCAAUCGCAUAUUUUCCAGUAUAAUUACUGUUUUUUAUUUGUUUUUAAUACAGAUGCUUUCAUGCAGCUAACUCAUAUUUUCAUUUUCGUACACCACAUAUGUUAACAAGGUCUGCAUAUUUGUGGAUAGUAGCUUAUUUAUUUUUGAGCUCAGUCUGGUCAGUUCAUUUUUUUGUUGUUGUUGUUGGUAGAAUGAUUUUAUAAUUAUCUAUCUUACAAUGGAUGUACAAUUAAUUAUCUUGGCUUUAAUGAAUACAGAAGAUGUAUAAAGUUCUUUGACAAUCAAUAUUACAAUUACUGUUACAGUUUGAAUGAAAAUACUUAGAAAUGAACAGAACAAGAAAUAAAAAAUCGAAGCUGAAUAGUAGGUAACUUUGAAUACUGUGUUAAUUCAUCUCUGUUACAGCCACUGAGCACAGUGCAGUUUUCAAUACACUGUGAUUUUUAUAUUCCCUUGACAUACAAGUUGCCUACAGUAUGUUCUCAUUUGUCAUUAAGUAUCCAUAUUUUCCUAACACGUUAUUGUAUUCA
ensembl:lncRNA